GGCACGGCCAGCUUGGGACCCAGGACCCUAACGUGUAGCAGAGGCGCUGUGUUUGGAAGUCCCGCUAUCACGGCCCCCCAGAUGGGGCCUGGACGAUGCCUCCUGACGGCCUUGUUGCUUCUGGCCCUGGCGCCACCGCCGGAAGCCUCCCAGUACUGCGGCCGCCUUGAAUACUGGAACCCAGACAACAAGUGCUGCAGCAGCUGCCUGCAACGCUUCGGGCCGCCCCCCUGCCCGGAGGCCGGUCCCUGCCAAGGGGCACUGCCCCCUCACACCUGGAAACCCAGGCGCCCCUAGCUCCCAGGAGCGCAGCUCACCAGCAAGUUCCAUUGCCUGGAGGACCCCUGAGCCUGUCCCUCAGCAGGCCUGGCCGAAUUUCCUUCCGCUCGUGGUGCUGGUCCUGCUCCUGACCUUGGCGGUGAUAGCGAUCCUCCUGUUUAUUCUGCUCUGGCAUCUCUGCUGGCCCAAGGAGAAAGCCGACCCCUAUCCCUAUCCUGGCUUGGUCUGCGGAGUCCCCAACACCCACACCCCUUCCUCCUCGCAUCUGUCCUCCCCAGGCGCCCUGGAGACAGGGGACACAUGGAAGGAGGCCUCACUACUUCCACUCCUGAGCAGGGAACUGUCCAGUCUGGCGUCACAACCCCUGUCUCGCCUCCUGGAUGAGCUGGAGGUGCUGGAAGAGCUGAUUGUACUGCUGGACCCUGAGCCUGGGCCAGGUGGGGGUAUGGCCCAUGGCACUACUCGACACCUGGCCGCAAGAUAUGGGCUGCCUGCUGCCUGGUCCACCUUUGCCUAUUCGCUGAGGCCGAGUCGCUCGCCGCUGCGGGCUCUGAUUGAGAUGGUGGUGGCAAGGGAGCCCUCUGCCUCCCUGGGCCAGCUUGGCACACACCUCGCCCAGCUAGGGCGGGCAGAUGCAUUGCGGGUGCUGUCCAAGCUUGGCUCAUCUGGGGUUUGCUGGGCUUAACACCCAAUAAAGAACUUUGC
rnacentral:lncRNA from 1 species